rnacentral:rRNA from 1 species
UACGUAGGAGGCAAGCGUUGUCCGGAAUCAUUGGGCGUAAAGCGCGUGUAGGCGGUUCGGUAAGUCUGCUGUGAAAGUCCAGGGCUCAACCCUGGGAUGCCGGUGGAUACUGUCGGGCUAGAGUGCGGAAGAGGCGAGUGGAAUUCCCGGUGUAGCGGUGAAAUGCGCAGAUAUCGGGAGGAACACCAAUUGCGAAGGCAGCUCGCUGGGACGCUACUGACACUGAGGCGCGAAAGCGUGGGGAGCGAACAGG